rnacentral:rRNA from 1 species
UACGUAGGUGGCAAGCGUUGUCCGGAUUUACUGGGCGUAAAGAGCGCGCAGGCGGUCGAAUAAGUCGAAUGUGAAAGCCCCCGGCUUAACUGGGGAGGGUCAUUCGAUACUGCUCGACUUGAAGGCAGGAGAGGGUAGUGGAAUUCCCGGUGUAGUGGUGAAAUGCGUAGAUAUCGGGAGGAACACCAGUGGCGAAGGCGGCUCACUGGCCCGAUACUGACGCUGAGGCACGAAAGCGUGGGGAGCAAACAGG